GGUCUUAUGGUCUAGCGGUUAUGACUGUGGAUUUUGAUAUCUUAUUGGAAAUCUUUCCACCAACCCCGGUUCGAACCCGGGUAAGACCU
rnacentral:tRNA from 1 species